rnacentral:rRNA from 1 species
GUAGCGGCGAGUGAAGCGGCAAAAGCUCAAAUUUGAAAUCUGGCACUUUCAGUGUCCGAGUUGUAAUUUGAAGAAGGUAUCUUUGGGUCUGGCUCUGUCUAUGUUUCUUGGAACAGAACGUCACAGAGGGUGAGAAUCCCGUGCGAUGAGAUGUCCCAGACCUAUGUAAAGUUCCUUCGAAGAGUCGAGUUGUUUGGGAAUGCAGCUCUAAGUGGGUGGUAAAUUCCAUCUAAAGCUAAAUAUUGGCGAGAGACCGAUAGCGAACAAGUACAGUGAUGGAAAGAUGAAAAGAACUUUGAAAAGAGAGUGAAAAAGUACGUGAAAUUGUUGAAAGGGAAGGGCUUGAGAUCAGACUUGGUAUUUUGUAUGUUACUCUCUCGGGGGUGGCCUCUACAGUUUACCGGGCCAGCAUCAGUUUGAGCGGUAGGAUAAGUGCAAAGAAAUGUGGCACUGCUUCGGUAGUGUGUUAUAGUCUUUGUCGAUACUGCCAGCUUAGACUGAGGACUGCGGCUUCGGCCUAGGAUGUUGGCAUAAUGAUCUUAAGUCGCCCGUCUUGAAACACGGACCAAGGAGUCUAACGUCUAUGCGAGUGUUUGGGUGUAAAACCCGUACGCGUAAUGAAAGUGAACGUAGGUAGGACCUCCUUUAGGAGUGCACUAUCGACCGAUCCUGAUGUCUUCGGAUGGAUUUGAGUAAGAGCAUAGCUGUUGGGACCCGAAAGAUGGUGAACUAUGCCUGAAUAGGGUGAAGCCAGAGGAAACUCUGGUGGAGGCUCGUAGCGGUUCUGACGUGCAAAUCGAUCGUCGAAUUUGGGUAUAGGGGCGAAAG